rnacentral:rRNA from 1 species
CUACGGGCUGCUGCAGUGGGGAAUAUUGCACAAUGGGCGCAAGCCUGAUGCAGCCAUGCCGCGUGUGUGAAGAAGGCCUUCGGGUUGUAAAGCACUUUCAAUAGGGAGGAAAGGGUAGUUGCUAAUAACUGCUAUCUGUGACGUUACCUAUAGAAGAAGCACCGGCUAACUCCGUGGCCAGCAGCCGCGGUAAUACGGAGGGUGCGAGCGUUAAUCGGAAUUACUGGGCGUAAAGCGCGCGUAGGUUGCCUGCUAAGUCAGAUGUGAAAGCCCAGGGCUCAACCUUGGAAUUGCAUUUGAUACUGGUAGGCUAGAGUUUUGUAGAGGGUGGUAGAAUUUCAGGUGUAGCGGUGAAAUGCGUAGAGAUCUGAAGGAAUACCAGUGGCGAAGGCGGCCACCUGGACAAAGACUGACACUGAGGUGCGAAGGCGUGGGGAGCAAACGGGAUUAGAUACCCGUGUAGUC